GACGAACGCUGGCGGCGUGCCUAAUACAUGCAAGUAGAACAGUUGAGAACGGGUGAGUAACGCGUAGGUAACUGCCUCAUAGCGGGGGAUAACUAUUGGAAACGAUAGCUAAUACCGCAUACAGUGAGAUGGACAUGCGUUGUAAUAGCUAGUUGGUGCGUUAAAGGCUCACCAAGGCGACGAUACAUAGCCGACCUGGGAGGUGUGUUGGCCAAACUGGGACUUGACCACUGCCCAAAACCCUACGGUAGGUAGCAGCAGGGAAGUUUCGGCAAGGGACCGAAGUCUGAACGAUCAACGCAGCGUUGGUGAAGAAGGUUUUCGGAUCGUAAAGCUCUGUUGUUAGAGAAGCGGUAACUAACCAGAAAGGGACGGCUAACUACGUGCCAGCCGCCGCGGUAAUAC
rnacentral:rRNA from 1 species